GAGUUUGAGACCCCUGCCUUAGAUGGAUUGCUCUCUCCAAAUUGAAUGGUGAGGGUACCUAGAACCACCAAAUUUAGUACACAGGUGAGAUUCAAACUGUAGGAGAACAUGGUUUGAUGUGCUAGAUUUUGCUCCUCCUUUGGAUAAUUUUCUGAUUCCUUUUAAAUUUUAGAAGUCUUCAGUUUGAGAAUGGAGAAUGGUUCUGCUCUAAAGGGUGACUUAUUAAUCAUGAUGUUUAAUCCUGCUGGCUCCACCUACUCAAGCAUUUUAUUUCCAAGCAUUGCCUGCCCACAAGCACAGCAAAUGGCUAUUCCUUGUUUGCUGUGGACAUCCAGUUACACAAAGGUCCUCAACUUUGGUGAGGGUGAGUGUGGAGAUAAGGAAUUUUGAGAAAGUUUUAAGCGCUCUCACAAAAUGGCUGCUGUGCGGAACUUGCCAUUCAUGGAAAGGCUGCCACGGUGAAUAUGGUUGAUCUGAAAACACACCUCUGCAUCUAAAAAAAGGUAACUUGCUCAAAUUGUACAAUCUUUAGUGGAAUCUGUGUAGAUGUCUAUACUGUAUUUUAUGGCAUUUCUCUAUUCUGUUGCUGGUUUUAUAGUGGAACUGUACACUGUCCAGGCAGCCUAUGUAAGACUAUAGGUGAAAAUAUUUUAAUGUACAGUGUGUAGUUAAACUAUGAUUCUUUCCCAUGGGAAGUGGUGAUGGCUGCCAAGCUGGAUGCCUUGAACAAGGGAUUGGUCAGAUCCAUGAGGGAGGCGGCUGUCAGUGGCUACUAGCCUUGCUUGGACAGGAGGAGGUCUUGCACCCUUCCUGCUUGAGGGAUUCCAUGGGCCGCUGGUUUGCCACUAUGUGUAUGGAAUGCGGGACUAGAUGGAUCUUUGGUCUGAUCCAGCAUAGCUUUUCUUGUGUUUUUAAAAAAACAACUAGGAAGGUCAGGGAGCCUGGCCAGCACCAAGCUGGAGAUGCCAGAUGUGCAACUUCUGCCCAUGGAGGUGCUAUUUAUUUGCAACCACCAAUAGAUUUUGUGAACAAGGAAAUGUGUAACUUACAAGACAUUACACUGCACAAGCUACUGCAGAGAACCAUAGUAGUCUUGUUUAGAUGAGCUCAAUGCAUUUUUAUAAUUAAGAAAUCCUGUUCCAACAAAAGGGAAAGGAAGUCUACAAUUUGCUUUAAAUACAGCACAGUAAAAAACUUGGAAGGACAUCUCCUCCAGCUCUUUUAGUUGCUUGGAGUUAUUUGAAAUAAAAACACUGUGUAACACCAAAACCCAACAGAAUAGCUUUAGAAUACCACAAAGAGAAAUUGUAUGACAGCAGGUACCUUUAAUAGAAUGCAAGUGUUUCACCAGAUUGGUUUUCUUUAUAAAUUCAUGCAAGACUAGAAAUCGUUCAUUCUCACUUACAAGUGAGGAACUGCUACAAUGAAAUAUUUAGGUCUGAUAAAAUAUCAAGAGGCCAAGCCUGAUACUAAUAAUUUAGAAUUCACUAUUUAAAAUAUCUGGGGUUAAAUAAAUCUGACUGGAUGGAACCCUUGCAGAAAAAGUUGAGGCUUGAUGCAUGAGGUACCCACUGUUUCAUCUUUAACAAAUACAAGUGCCCUACGUCCACCCUGAGCUUCAAAUCCAACACUCCUGCCCUUCCCAGAUACGGUGAGAGAAGACUGUGGAGAAGGAUCGGCUUUAAAGCAGAAACCUCUGGCAUUUCUCUCUGCCCAACUCUGCAUCCUACUGAAGGUUGUUUGCUGAUGUACAAUGAUAGAUGGGGUGAAGAAAGGUUCAAAUAUCUCCCUUAAAAGGCCACUUCCCUAAGUAAGACUACCGGAAUGUGACAUUGCCGCAAGGAAGAAAAAAAGGCAGGAUUGCAUUGCUGCUCACUGUUGAAUGCAGCUAACUAAGCAUACACUGGGGAUGCUUCCCGGUUUCCCAUGGAGGACUGGAAGAAUGUCCACCGGCCAAAGCCACAAGCAUACGGUUACCCUGUUAGCCACUUCACACAUGCAUCAACAGAACGUGCCCAGGGGUGCAGAGGAGAGGCUCUUUGUAGAAAAUCAGCUCUCCCGACUUGCUCUUUGGGUGAGGUCAUUUCUAGGCGCUGGGAGAAAAAGCUCUAAAAGCCUCUUUAUUAAGCAGGCCCUUGCUGUACUAUAUUCAUACUGUAUUCUGCAGUACAAUGCAUUUUACCAUUGCCUUACGUUGACAAGAUCUGGCUUUCCUUGUUUUGCUGGGCCAUAUUAAAAAGAGGAACUGCAAAGUGUACAGAAGACAUAACCUGCCAUCUUUUGAUGUCCUGCUCGGAACAGGGUUCUGCUCAAGGCAAGAACAACAAGCCAGAGAGCAGUUUCCACCAUCUUGAGGAUCUAUGCUCAAGGAGUUCAAUAUGGUUUUCCUGCCAAAAGCUUACAUCUUCCAAAAGACUUCUUGCUUGGUCACAGCACCAACAAUUUGCUUGAAGAAGUUUCUGCAGACUGUCACCACCCUCUUAGCUACAUUAUGGGACAGCUGUGGCUUUCAUUCUUCUGCAGAGAGAGGUGAACAGUUUAGAUACAGCUUCUUUGACAGCAGGUGUAAGAGCAGAAAAGUCUCCCAUGUUAAAUUGUUCUGCCAAGGUAUUUUGCACUUCACAAAGGAUUUUAUGACACACAAACUGUGGAGGCUAUUGCCCAAUCCUGUUGAGCCAAAAAUUAUAGAGUACACAGUGACUGGAGAUUAUGGGACUUAUAGUCCAACAUCUGUGGGCUUAAGGUUGGAAAAGGCUGAGUACACCUUUGAAUAAUGUGCUCAAAAUUUGCUUGUAGUUGUGGAUAGGGAAAGAUGACGACCACUCAGGACAAUAUGCCUUUCUUCUGACUUGGCCUUCAUUUAUUAUGUUCAUCUGUUCCAGUGUUCUGGCCAACCAGCUGCCCACAGAAAAACCACAAGCAAGACCUGAGUGCACACACUCUCCCACCCAAGUUCCCCAGCAACUGGGGCACAUAGGCAUACUGCUUCUGAUACUGGAGACAACAUAUAGCAACCAGGACUAGUAGCCAAGCAAACUGGUGUUUGAGGAAUCCUUUUUUUAAAAAAAGCUGUAAUUUCCAUUGGUUAAAUGAAAGGAGUAGUUACAAUAAACUAAAAUGGCAUCCCCUUGUUGCUAUAACAAGCAAAAUGAAAACCCCUUAAAAAGAAAGAAGAAAACACAGCAAACCAAAGAUGAGGCAGUUCGCCUCUAUCCUCAAAUGGACCCUCUUCAACACAGCCAUGCACCAUCUAAAAACAAGACAUAUUCUUUCCCAAAACAUUUGUUUUUGUAGCAUUCAGAUAUAUGCAGUUCUAAUAACAAGUGAUUUGAUCAAUCUACUACAGUUUCUUAAACUGAGUGAUAGGCUACUAUUCUAUAUGAAAGAGUGGAGGUUUCCAAGGAACACAGUUUGAAACCACCUAUUACCAUUUCAUUUUCAUUUCAUUCCAUUUCUGAAUGAUGGAGACUCACUAACUGUGGAAAUUUCCCAUCUACUUGUUUAAGAGUCACUAACUUCAGCUUGUGAGAAGUGCAUUGCUAAGCUAGGUUUACAAUGCAGCUUGCCUAGAGUCAGAAAGUAGGGACAGUUCCUCACUUAUUACAUACUUAAACUAUGGAAUUCACAAGCUGUACUGAAAGCACCCAGUUUAGCUGGAUUUAAAGGUAAUUGGACAAAUUCAUGGAGAUUAAGGCUAUCAGUGGCUACUCAUCUUGAUGGCAUUAUGCUACCUCCAGUAAUACAAGCAGUAUUCCUAUAUGCAUCAGUUCCUGGGAAGAAAGAUGGCUGCUGAGGCAUUCUUGUCCUGAUUGGGCAUUUCUCCACAGGUACUUGACUCACCACUAUGUGAACAGAAUGCUGGACUAGAUGGACCUUGGUCUAAUCUAGCAUACUCUUAUUUUUUUAUGAGGGUCACUCUUCUCUAUCUUUUGUUUGCAAGACUCAUGAUACCAGCCAAAAUAAUCUUUCCCACCUUCUUUUUGUCUUGGAGCGGGGAAGCACCUGUGUUUUGAAUAAUACUGGACCUCAAUUGUCUUGUGGGGGGAAAGAUGUUCCACCCAGCCAAAUAUGAAUGCCAAUACUUGGCAUUUUUCUCUUUCAGCACUUGGGAGCUCAGCGAAGAACCAACCUGACUAUGAGGCUUCAUUUCUCCUCCCUCAGCAGUGUCUUCUAUUUCUCCCUCUCCUUCUCCUCUGUCCACAUAGGUUGACCCCUUAUGCCAGGAACAUCUUGAGACCACCUCCCUUGCUUCCUUGAAUUCCCUCCUCAAAACUGUUGUUUUGCAAGUAGGCUCUGUAUUACUCUGGGAGGACCUGUUCUUUGUGAAGUGCCAUGAAGAAAGAUGAUGCUGUGCAAGAUUAUUUCAAGCAAGUGGAACACGUUUUUGGGAGGGUGCAUCUUCUAUGCCCUCAAUUACUUCUACUGGUUUCAGAUCAUGGGUACGUAGGGUCUUUUUCAGCAAUUCUUUUAAUGGGAAACUAGAGCAGACACCGAUCUUUUGAUUGGAAAAGGGAAGAGAAGCAGAUUGUUCACUCACUGUAACUACUUGUCCACCCUGAAGAAUAAAUCGAGCAGGAAAUUGGUA